rnacentral:rRNA from 1 species
UACGUAGGGUGCAAGCGUUGUCCGGAAUUAUUGGGCGUAAAGAGCUUGUAGGCGGUUUGUCGCGUCUGCUGUGAAAUUUCGGGGCUCAACCCCGAACUUGCAGUGGGUACGGGCAGACUAGAGUGUGGUAGGGGAGACUGGAAUUCCUGGUGUAGCGGUGAAAUGCGCAGAUAUCGGGAAGAACACCCGUGGCGAAGGCGGCUCUCUGGAACGGUACUGACGCUGAGACGCGAAAGCGUGGGGAGCGAACAGG